rnacentral:rRNA from 1 species
AUUGAACGCUGGCGGCAUGCUUUACACAUGCAAGUCGAACGGCAGCGCGGGGGCAACCCUGGCGGCGAGUGGCGAACGGGUGAGUAAUGCAUCGGAACGUAUCCUGGAGUGGGGGAUAACGUAGCGAAAGUUACGCUAAUACCGCAUAUUCUGUGAGCAGGAAAGCAGGGGAUCGCAAGACCUUGCGCUCUGGGAGCGGCCGAUGUCGGAUUAGCUAGUUGGUGGGGUAAAGGCCUACCAAGGCGACGAUCCGUAGCGGGUCUGAGAGGAUGAUCCGCCACACUGGGACUGAGACACGGCCUAGACUCCUACGGGAGGCAGCAGUGGGGAAUUUUGGACAAUGGGCGGAAGCCUGAUCCAGCCAUGCCGCGUGAGUGAAGAAGGCCUCGG